UGGAGCAGAAUGUGAUCCGGUCUUGCCCGAGGUCUCUCGGGGAAUCCUCCCAAUCACUUUAUUUAUUUAGAACUAUCAACGGCAUCAGCAGACUAUAUGUAAUGUGUGUGCUCUGGAGCUUCACUUAUGAACUAAACCUGCACAACAUGAGCCUUCUCCUUGCCUUGGAGCUGCUGCUCUUUCUGCUAGCCUUGCCACGCCUUACUUCUUCCUCAAAGUCCACGCAUUCGUCACUGGAUCGGCAGGCUGAGGCACUUCUCCAAUGGAAAUCUAGCCUAUACAAUUGGGACUAUGAUCUGGGCUCUUGGAGAAAGGAAACGAGCCCCUGUAGCUGGAUGGGCGUUGACUGCAGCAACACUGUGCCUCAUGGCCGUGACCAGGGUGAUGCUGCCCUAGUUGUGUCCAACAUUUUGCUUGCACACUGUGGCCUUCAAGGCAGGCUAGACAGCCUCCACUUUGCAGAUUUGUCCCAUCUUGUCUAUCUGAACCUUAGCACCAACUCUCUCUCGGGCCCAAUCCCAUCAAGCAUCGGUGCUCUUGCCAAGCUCACUCACUUGGAUCUAUCCAACAAUGGCCUGAAUGGAUCCAUUCCAACAUUCCUAGACUUACCCAAUCUUGUCUAUUUGGAUCUCAGUGGCAACGCUCUCUCGGGCCCAAUCCCAGCAUCGAUAGGUGAUUGUUCUAAACUAACUUUUCUCGAUCUGUCGUACAAUGUUUUGUCCAAAGGAUCCAUUGGAAGCAUAGGAAAUCUGGCGAGUUUGCAAUACCUAUAUCUUUCUAAAAAUCAAAUAAAUGGUUCCAUCCCUUCAACCUUCUCGAAAUUGGUCUCUCUAGAAGAGCUGGCACUUCAUUCCAACCAGCUAGAUGGCCAAUUACCACUAGAAUUAGGAUCUCUUGUUGUUCUCUCACAUCUGGAUCUAAGGAGGAAUCAAUUUGUAGGAAAUAUUCCACCUCAGAUAGGACAGUGUAGCUCUUUGUCAUAUUUAUCCAUACCAGACAACUUAUUGACAGGAGAAAUACCACAACAACUCGGGGAUCUUGCUAACCUUAUUGAGCUGGAUUUGAGUAGAAACAAUUUAAGUGGUGCCAUCCCAGCGACUUUUUCUAAUCUUCACAGACUGUCUACACUGAAUUUGUCAUAUAACAGUUUGGCUGGCAAAGUUCCUUCUAUCGAUGCAUCUUCUGUCUCACUUGACGGUAAUAUGGAUUUAUGCGGCGAUUGGUAUGACAUACCUCUAUGUGAAACACACCAAAGAAGAAUACAUCCAAGUAUGGUAUUUCUUGCUUUUGCUCCCUUCCCCCUCGCCUGCCUCACAAUAGCAAGCAUUAUGGUCGUUUCUUGGAGAAGAAAACAAGAAAAUGCUACUAUCAAAAGAAAGUCUGGAGAUAUGCUUUCCAUAUGGAAUUUUGAUGGAAAGAUCGCAUUUGAAGACAUCCUCAGUGCAACAGAAAAUUUUAAUGAGAAAUUUUGCAUCGGUGUUGGAGGAUACGGAUCGGUCUUCAGAGUUCAGCUUGUAGGAGGAAUUAUCUUUGCCGUCAAGCUCCUUCACUCAGUGGAAAAAUUCAGUGAUGAGGAGACAUUUCACGCUGAGAUUGAAGUGCUCACAAAAAUCAGGCACCGAAGCAUCGUCAGGCUAUAUGGUUUUUGUUCCCACUCCCAAUGCAAAUUCCUUGUGUACGAUCUUAUUGAGAGGGGAAGCCUAUCAUCUAUUUUGCAUGAGCAAGAGCUAGCAAAGGAGCUGGAUUGGGCAAAGAGAAUUGUUGUUGUGACGGACAUAGCUCAAGCUCUCUCCUACUUGCACCAUGAUUGAGAUGAUCCAAUCGUGCACCGUGACAUAAAAAGCAGCAAUAUUCUUCUGGACCUCAAUUACAAAGCUUAUGUCUCAGACUUUGGCAUGGCGAGGAAGUUGGAGCACAGUUGCUCAAGCUGGAUCACUAUCUUUGCAGGGACAUAUGGCUACAUAGCACCAGAAUUGUCAUCUACCAAUGUGUUGACUGAGAAAUGUGACGUGUACAGCUUCGGCGUGGUUGCACUCGAAGUAUUGAUGGGAAAGCACCCAGGUGAUCUGCUCCUUCCAUUCUUUGGCCAAACAGAGCAGCCGGCAAAGCUCAAGGACAUCCUGGAUCGACGGAUCAUAGCACCGUCGACUGUCGAUGAGGAGAAAAAUGUCAUCCUGGUUGCUUUGAUGGCCUUUGCUUGUCUGCAAGUCUCUCCAAAAGCCCGGCCAACAAUGCAGCAGGUAUACCAGGCCCUCACAAGUAGAAGCCAUCCAGAGCUCAUGCUUAGGCCCCUUCAUGAAAUCAGGCUGCAAGAUUUGCAUGAUUUUUGUGGCACCAUAAAAAAUAUAUGAAGCUAUAUAGGUAGCCUCCUGUGCUGCCAAUUAUAUAUUUGGCCCAUGAGUUUGUAUUUGUGUGUAGAUUUUGAGGACAAAACGAUGGAUACCAAGGAAAUAGUUACUUGUAAUUUCAAUAUCAAAUAUCACAAGGAUCGUGAAAACUCUUGGAUGAAAACAAAUCUUGUUCUUUUCAUUCAAUUGAAGUGCACAAAAAUGACCCUUCUUCCCCAGAUA